CUUUUGACACACAUAACACCUGACUAGUCAGGGCACUGACCACUUUUCCCUUAGAUUGUCAGAUUU